rnacentral:rRNA from 1 species
AUGGCGGGUGGCAGCCCGGCAAAAGAGGAGGUACAGACGCCUCGUGAGUUGGAGAUGCAGAUGGAAGAGAAGGUCGUGCAGCGGAAUCAGCCUCGUCGCAAGAGGAAUCGAGCUGACCUUGCUGAUGAGCUCGAGUUCUUCACGGACCUCCGCAAUACGCUGAUGAAGAAGAAGAAGAAGAAGCAGAAGAAGGACAAGGGCACGCCCGAGAAGGAGAGGUUCGAUUCUUCCAACUCCUACCGUAGUUUGGGCACGCAGAAGGGGCUUGGUUUUCUCGACAAUCGUAUCAAGGUCUUGCGCAAGCGGAUGGGGAUAACUGCCGGAACUGCCCACACCUCCCCCGCGAUCUCUGAUCUGUCGGACCCCUCGGGGAAGCAUAUGAAUGGUCUCAGUGAUCUGAGUUCGACAUUAGGAGCAGAUCCAAUUUCAGAUGAUGAUGAUGGUGCUGAUGGUUCUGGUGACGACGAGGAAGAGGAUAAGAUGGAGUGUGGCAAGCCAGCCAUGGAGGAGGAGGAGGUCCAGAGGAUCACCGGCUCCACACCAAUUUCGGAGAUUGAUGCUGAGGCAGUGAUGGGGGCAAAAGUGUCCAUAAACGGUGAUGGCCAUGAUCGAGCUGACACUGAUUGUGUUGACGACGAUGAGGUAGACAGAGGCAAAUCAGAGGCACAAUUAGCCAAGGAGAAGAGGGUGAUGUCUACCGAGAAGCUCAUGUUUGAGUCCUUCAGUCGUGACUGGGAGGCUGCGUUUAGCCGACGCAGCGGCCACUUCCUUAACAAGACGACAGUGAGUUCCAUGCAGUUUACACACUUGGCACCUGGGCGCAUCCCAUGGGGCGCUGGCAUAGAACCUGCCGUGCAGAUCUUCUCUGUCAAGCUUACAGAGGUGAAAGGUGGCUUCAAAUUUCCAUUGUCCGUGUAUGGUGUGGUCGCUGCCCGUGAUGGCGUGGACUACAACCGCAACCUUAUCUUCUUUUGCGAUAGGAGCAACUCCCAAGAACUUACUCAAAAUGAUCCUUAUCUGCGCCUGAUCGCCCCGUCUCGCGCUGUUUUGUUUGAGGACUAUGUCAGUUAUGAGGUCCAGCUUAUGGUGAAAGGCAGCGUCAAGUCUCGGGACAGGCCGUUGAUCACAGAUACAUACCGCCAAACCCGAUGCCGUAUUGGUGUAUCCACCAUCUGCUUUCAGAACUGCUUCUGCACGAUGGAGUUACGCUUGGAGCGAUUUCUAGGUUCGGUCCAGGCCACCAUCAUUGGCGUACGUGUCGUCAAAGACAAUGGGGCGUGGCCUUUUGGACAUGGUGUUCGGGUUGCUUGCUCCCCGGCAUCACGGGAACUUAUGGAGGACAGUGAUGGUGAAAUCAAGUAUGUUGCUCAGCCUUCGUCUGGGGAAAUCUUGCUGCUUGAUUCAAAAGAUGGAAGUAGACCUGCGCGUUCAGAUGGAUACCUUUAUCUGUCAAGGCAAGUUGUUUCUGUAGAACCAAGCGGACAGCUGGAAGUUGAAAUACAGGCCUAUGCACCACCUGGCGUUCUCCCUGCAAAAACGCAGGUCUGCUUCGAAGCCCAAGAAUGCAACAUAGAUCGUGGUCGGUGUUGCCUCCUCGGUGCCGAGGUGGAGAUCUCUGUUGCUUGGUCCCGUCUUGCUUUGGACGUGGAGAUGCUUGCGGGUGUUGACAGGGAUUUUCAAAGGGACGAACCAGAGGUUGCGUUCACACAAGUGGGGCUGAAUGGAGAGCCUGACACGGAACGAAUCUUUUAA